rnacentral:rRNA from 1 species
UACGAGGGGGGCGAGCGUUGUUCGGAAUUAUUGGGCGUAAAGGGCGCGUAGGCGGUCGGAUAAGUCUUGUGUGAAAUCUUCGGGCUCAACUCGAAGUCUGCACAGGAAACUAUCUGGCUUGAGUGUGGGAGAGGUGAGUGGAAUUCCUGGUGUAGCGGUGAAAUGCGUAGAUAUCAGGAGGAACACCGGUGGUGUAGACGGCUUUCUGGACCGUAACUGACGCUGAGACACGAAAGCGUGGGUAGCAAACAGG